rnacentral:rRNA from 1 species
CCCUUGUAUGUUAUUUAUAAAAUUAAUACAAAAAGUUAAAAUUAAAAAUUUUGGCAGUUAAUUAACUUAUUAGAGGAGCUUGUCAGAAUUAAGAAUCUACUCUUUAUAUUUAAAUAUAAACUUUGUCUAUUCAUCUCUGUUAUUAAAAUAUAUUUACAAUAAAAUCUUAUUUAUUAUUUCAGGUCAAGAUGUAGCAUUUUAUAUCUUAUGAUUAGCUACAAUUAUAUAAUAGUAGUUAUUAAACUAGUAUUAAUUUUUUAUAAAUUGAAUUUAAUUGUAAUAAAAACUAAAAUAUUUUUAUGAAUUAAAAUUAUUAAUGU